rnacentral:rRNA from 1 species
UACGUAGGGAGCAAGCGUUAUCCGGAUUUACUGGGUGUAAAGGGCGCGCAGGCGGGCUGGCAAGUUGGAAGUGAAAUCUAUGGGCUUAACCCAUAAACUGCUUUCAAAACUGCUGGUCUUGAGUGAUGGAGAGGCAGGCGGAAUUCCGUGUGUAGCGGUGAAAUGCGUAGAUAUACGGAGGAACACCAGUGGCGAAGGCGGCCUGCUGGACAUUAACUGACGCUGAGGCGCGAAAGCGUGGGGAGCAAACAGG